CCAUCGCCCCCCCACCACCACCACCACCACCACCGCCGCCGCCGCCGCACAGUUGCCGCCGUCGCCGUCGUCGUCGCCACUACUAGCCUCUUCUUCCUUCCUUCUUUCGCUCACUCGACGCGCGCAGCUACACGAGAGAACGAGUCCGUUCGCGAAUCGCGCUAGCGAUUCUUUUCACCGUUCCUACCCCCUGCUCGUCUCUUUUUCCCCUCCCCUCCGCCUCGCUCCUCCCCUCUCUCCCCUGCUCUCCUCGGCCCUUCCCUCGAGCAUGCGCGCGGCCCCCUCCUCUCCUUGUUAAACUCGUGGAACGUUCGCGCUUAACCGGCGACCCACCUCGUCGGACCGGUCCACGACUCGACUCGACGACGACGACGACGACGCGACGCGACGAGACGCGAUGAGACGCGACACGAGACGCACAACGCUACGCGAGUACGACGCGCUCCUCUCCGCCAAUCGGGCGCUGUGGCGUCACAUUCUGUGACGUCAUAAUCGCGAACAGGCGCAGGCGCGCCAGUAAGCGCCCUAGGCUGACACGUAGCCGGCACCACACACGACCGGGAUACGAAGAUGCUAUGCUAUGCUAUGCUAUGCUAUGCUAUGCUAUGCUAUGGUAUGCCGUGCUAUGCUAUGCUAUGCUCUAUGCUAUGCUAUGCUAUGCUACGCUAUGCUUACUGCUGCUCUUGCUGCUGAUGAUGACGAGAGAGAGAGAGAGAGAGAGAGACUACGAAAGACGACGUGUAUACAAUGAUGCGCGUGCGCCCUACCUUACCAGCUUCCUUACGACAAAAAGAGAGAGAAAGAGAGGUCUCUUUUACACACUCGAGAAAACCUUCUGGAACCCAUCGGUUAUUGCUUUUUUCCUUCCAGCUUUGUCGAGGACUCUCUUCUCGCUCGUUCUCUCUCUCUCUCUCUCCCUCUCUGCUCUGUUUAUUCUUUCGGAUUGUAGUAAAUAAAUUUGUGUGUAUAUAUAUAUAAUGUUCUCUUAACUCGUAAGACGUAAUAUACGUCGAUUCAUCGAGCUAAUAGAUACGAACGAACGAACGAACGGAACUUUAUCUAUUUAUUUUUCUUCGAGAUAAUCUCUCAUUCUUUUUCUUUCUCUCUCUCUCUCUCUCUCUCUCUCUCUCUCUCUGUUAUAAACAACACCGAUUAGUAUCAUCAUUUCGAUUACAUCCACGAGUGGCGCGAUCGUUUAUUUGCUUUUUUUCUUCGCCGAUAAGAAGAACGAGAUAGAUAACGAUCAAUGGAGAUUGGAACUUCGUUGUAAUAGAAUGCAUUCAUGAGACCACGCGUUAUCAUUAUCUCUGUUAUUGCAAACCUUGUGGAUUGAGAAUUCUCAAAAUUAUGCAAUUGCGCUUUUUGUUCCUUUUUUUUAAAUUAUCAGUCACAUAAUACACACGUGCGCGCGUGCUCAUACAUACGUACUAAAUACAUACGUACGUAUACGAAUUGACAGUCUCUCUCUCUCUCUCUUUUCAAGUAUCAACAAAAGAUCCUCUCCGAAAGGAAUAUUCCACGAAAUAUGUAUAAACGUCCGUCACCGGUACGUUUCGAAUGACAUCACUCUCUAUGUGUGACAUCAUAGCGUAGAACGAGUUAGCAAUAUAUGAAAGUUUUCUCCUCGAAGGCGUGCUACCGCUGCCGUUGUUGCUGUUGCUGUUGCUGUUGCUGUUGGCGUUGCUAUUGCUAUUGACGCCGCUCUCUCUCGUUCAGCGAUACGGUAUCGCGCGUAAGGAAGAAACUUUGCUGGCAGCUGUGUGCUGUUUAGGAUCGAAGAGAAAAAGAAGAAGUGGAGGAGAGGAGGAGGGGGAAGGGUGGGAGGAGAAGGAGAAGAAGGAGGCCGAUAAUAUCCCUCUCGAACGCCUCUCUUCCUGCCCCCCUCUAACCCUCCCCCUCUCGAUCCAUUGCUACUACCUCCCUCUCUCCCUCCAGCCCUCUUUCUUACUCGUUUCGUGACGACGUAAAUAAACGAAGGAUCGUUCGACGUCGCGUGUGUUUUUAUCCUCUCGUUCCUUACACACACACACGCACACGCGCGCGCGCGCGCGGAUAUACAUAUAUAUAUACAUCAGAGAAAGAAUGUACGUAUACACGCGAUGAUGUAUCAUAAUAUUAGAGUUGCUAAAAACGAAGAUCGCGACUAAAGGAAAAAGAGAGAGAGAGAGAAAAGAAAGAGAGAUCGACGGAGCUACUACUACUCCGCGUAGCUCUUACAUAGUUCAUUUUCAUGGUUAUCGCUAGAGUUGGCAAGAAGAGUAUAACUUAAUCGCACGGGGGUCGCUUAUCUUCGGAAGACUCGAAACGAGUCGUGAUAAACGAGAGAGGCCGAAGGCUGAAUCAACGUCGAAAAUCGUUCCGAGCCGUAUAAAAGCCGUACAUACAUACGAUCCAUGUACUUGCUUACGUACGUACGUGUAUACACAAAUACACACGUCGCUCGCCCGUCGAACCGAUCGAUAAUUUUGGUUUGACCUCUGGAUAACUCGAGCACGUGCGAGAUAUUGAGUUCGAUUUUAGAGGAGGAAACAACAGUGGCAGAGAGCCGAUUUUAAACGCGGAUCAACGUGCCAACACAAUUUCCCUGCUUUUUCUCUAUUGAUAGAGAAAGAGAGAGAGAUUCCUGGUAGUCCGUAGUCCCACACAACCUACCCCCACCUCUUUCACGCAUUAUUAUUAUUCUCUCUCCUCUGCCAGCUGGAAAACUCUUGUCGCUUAAUUUGAUGCUUUUACUUUUACCUACCCCUUUCUCUUCCACCCCGCUACCAACGUUCGACGUUAUUUCGCUAUUUCUUUCUUCUCGUCUUUCUCUUCGAAAUAUCCGACGAGCUUCGUUCGAAAUAUCUCACGCGUGCAUAUUCUUCGCAUAGUACGACGUUGCGAGAAGUAACGUUACUUCUCUCUCAUCUUUCUUAAACGUGCUGGAAAUAAUAACGUGAAACGAUAUUACGAAUUUUGCGAAUAUUCAUGUACAAAUCGUACCAACCACCCAACCCAUCUUCCUUCCAUUCUCCCGCUCUCACCCGUCGACGAGUUUAGUUGCAGGAAACACAACAGAAGCUACUUGUCGAACCGUGUCCCGUCGUAGAUUUUCUCCCCUCCUUCCACCGUCGUUCGAAGCGAUGACGAAACCACAAGCAACGUCGUAGAGCGAGUAGAGACAAGUAGGAAGGAGAAGAGAGGAGACGCGGAUAGAGAUGAUGGCGAAGGAGUAGAAGUAGCGGCAAUGGCAACAGCAGCAGCAGCAGCAGGCUACCCUUGUGUUCGUUCGGUUCUCAUGGAAAAGCGCCUCGGGAGACUCCGCGUACCGCGUGGUGGUGGUGGUGGUGGUGGUGGUGGUAGUGGUAGUGGUAGUGGUAGUGGUAGUGGUGGUGGUGGUGGUGGUGGUAUGGUGACGGUGACGGUGACGACGAUGAUGGUAGUAGUGAUGGUGGGGUAGUAGCGGUGGCGCAGAGGGUGUGGCGGGUAGAGGGAGAGAUAAUACCGUUCCGUCACGUCACGGUGCAAGCCGGCCGGAGAAAAUCAAUCCGGUCGUUCACUACUAACCUUCUGGUAGAACCGCGACGACUCGUGCUACUAUCACCGUCGAAAACGUCGCCGCUGCUUCAAGGAUCUCGACGCGAUAUUGACCUGGGGUUGCGUUAGGUUAUUCCCGCCGAGGUUCUUGUACCUAUCGCUCGAAUACCAUCCCAACGACUCUUCCUUCUCUCUCUCUCUCUCUCUCUCUCUCUCUCUCUCUCACUCACUCUCUCAUUCUGAAUCUUUCUUUCUCUCUUUAAUAUGUGUGUGUAUAUAUAUAUCGUUCUUUUCUAGCACGAACGCAAAGUCGGAUCGUUAGAUGUAACGUUGCUAAUGAGAUUUCCGUUUCGAGUAUCAACCCUGCCCCCCUUUGCUCUUGUCCUUGGCCUCGUAUCGUCGAUACGAACGGCGAGCGACAAACGCGAAGACAAGAAGCGCGAAGGAUACUGAUAUUGUUGUUAUUAUUGUUAUUAUAAUUAUUAUUAUCACUAUUAUUAUUACUAUUAUUGUUAUUAUUAAUAUUAAUUACUGAUAUUAUUAAAAUUGUGAUUAUUAUUAUCAUUAUCGUUACUAUCCGUUAAUAUGAUUCGUCCGAUUUCAAAUCUUUCUUUUUUCUUUCCUUUAUUUUUUCCCUUUUACAUUUGUUAUUCGUUGCGAAAGCACCGAUGACUAUCGAGCCAAGUAGAGCGUACGUUCUCUUCCUGUUUCUUUCUACGACCCACGCGCCGCCUUUCGCCUUUUCGUUCGAUGACGAUCAACGCAGAAUUUUGCAAAGAUCUGCUCGAAGAUUGUUAACUUUUUUUUAUUCCUUUCUUUUAUCUCUUCGUUUCUUUUCAUACGGCUAAUUAAAUCAACGUGGUUGAGGUUAGUGAUUUUGAACGGGUUUUACGUCGUACGAUCGUUUCGUCGAUCGUCGCGUUGGCGAACAACGUGUGUAUGUAUGUACGUACGUAUUUAUGUAGUAAAGAGCACAACGAACGGACGCUCGUCCGACAACGUCGACCUAAUUCGGUAGGCAACCUACUAGCAACUACAAUACGAUGACGUCACGAAUACGACGGUCGAUCUCCGUAAGCAGUCACGGCUACAAACGCGACGCGUUGUCGGUCCGAUCAUACGAGCUGCUGUUACAAUGGCGCGCGACAAUGGGACGAUAUCGUACGUACGUACGUAUGCAUGUACAUAUGUAUGUAUGUACGAACGAACGAACGAACGAACGAACGUACGUUUACGUUUACGUUUACGUUUACGUUAUGCGCUCUGCGAUGUCACGCCGUGACAAUGCAACGCAUCGAGGACGACGAGGCAGUUGGGGAGAGAGAAGAGAAAGACGGAGAAGCAGACAGACAUUAAUCGUCUUACUCGACGCUAGACAAUUCUCUCAUUAUCCAUUCGAGUUAUGUUCCUCGAGUACGUGACAUUAAAACAAACCUUUAUAUUCGAAUUAUUCAUUUUGACUUUUACCGCGUGAGAGAUACGGCCAGAAAGAUCCACCACCACCAUCGUCGUCACUACCACACCGUCGCUACCGCCGCGGUCCGCCGCCAUUAUUCAAGAUGGCGUCGUUAACGUAGCGUCGGGAGAAAACGAAAGUAAUAUAACAGGCAUUGCGCCGCUCGGCCGCCCAGACGGUGGCUUCUUGCGUUGUUGCACAUCUUCUUUCGAGAGAUCGAUUCGAAAGGAAACGAUGACGAACGGCAAUAACGUUCUCUUUCAAUCGUCCUGUCCUUUUUCUUCCUUCCUUUCUCUCUUUUCUUUAUUCAUAAGAUGCGGGGGAGGGGGAGGAAAUGUUAUAACUAUGCCGUCAUAUAUUCGACUGACUUUACGGGUGUGUUUGUAAACAGACGCGAGGGAAAGGGAAGGAAGGCAGCAAACGGCAUAUACUUUGAGAGAGAGAGAGAGAGAGAGAGAGAGAGAGAGAAGGAGAAGGAUGAGAAGAGAAGAGAAGAGAAGAGAUGGAACGUCGAAGGCAGCUCCGCGUUCCUCGUUCAGGUUUCACGUGCAACACCAACAUCUUGCAUGGCGCUCAGUUAGGAUCAUCUCGUUUGUCUGGGGGUACGAUCUGCAAAACCCUCCUCUCUUUCACGCUUCGUCGCUCUUUCUGUCGUCGUCGUCGUCGUCUUCGUCUUCCCCCCUUCCCUUCCCUUUCCUCCUAUUCUCUUCUCUCCCUCCAUCUUUUCUCAUGACUAACGUGACGUCAUCUCGUAAGCUCGAAAGAGUGACUACACCGGAGGGUAGCGGGAAGGAGAAGGCACGCAACGUGGCUCGACCAGUCUCUCUCCCCUCUCUCGCCUGACCCCUCGUCGAACGCAACCAUCCACACACACGAUGCACACGCUCGACGACGACGACGACUCGACGACGCGCAGUGACAUCGCUCGCGUGUAGCCGUUGGUUCGACGCUCGCGGCCGGCUGCCGUUCCCCCUCUCUCCCUACCUCCCUCCCACCGUCACUCUCCCCGCCACUCGCCCCUCCACUCGCGAAUCGCGCAACGACCGGUUCCGCGCCGCGUGCAAACUUCGUCUCCCUCAGCUCCCCCACCUCCGACUCACUCUCUCUCUUCCCCCUCCUUCUCCCCGACUCUUCUCGUUCGAAACGUACCUCCUCCAUUGUACGUUUUUACGCGACUCGCUCCCUCUCUUUCUCUCAUUCCCGUUCCGUUCACCCGCACAGCAACAUCGUCCGUCCUCGCUCUGUCUCUCCUUCUUCUUCUUCUCCUUCUUCUUCUUCUUCUUAUUCUUAUUCUUCUUCUCCUCCUCCUCCUUCUUCGCGCAACAACAUAUCACAGCCACAUUUUUCUUGCGCACAGUCAGCGCACAGGGACGCGACGAUCGUCCAGACACGUUAGAAGGAACUUUGUAAAAGUUUUCCGGUCCAGUUAAUUUAAUUAUAUUCGAUGAUAUAAAAUAAUAAUGCGUGGGUUAUCGAAUAUAUAUAUCUUUGACGUAUUUUGUAUGUUAUAUAUAAUAUGUGUAUAUACAUACAUGCCGUAAUCUUAAUUAUUAUCAACUUUAUUUCGUGAUCGUAAUAUCGAUUAUCGAAGAAAUGGAUGUAUUUAUACGAAUAUAUUUUGUUGUUUAUUAACUAUCAUCGCAGUAAUGAUAUGAAAAAGUAGUAACGUUAGAAUAAAAUGAUUGGAAAUGGAUUUUGAUAGACAUAGACAAUUCUGAUUAAAAAUAAGAACGUUGUAACAAAAUUUUCUGUUCUAUCGUCGAAUAGUCUUCUACGAGAGACGUCGAAGGUUUUCUUUGUUCUUAAGUACAGUGGGCGACAUUAAAGGAAGAAGCACCUGACGAAACCAGCCGGGUUGUCGAGCAGACGGCCAGGCAUAGGCAGGCAGGCAGGCAGCUCGUGUACGUAACGACGUACCUGCGGCAGGUGAAUCGAGUCAGGUGCCUCAACAGAUGGGUGCCUUUACUCAAGGAAGCGUUAUAAAAGCGGUCUAUAUCAUAAAUGUGGGUUAGUAGCGAUGACUAAUCCUCUCAACGACAGUGAAAUAUUUUAUCGUUUUUCUUUUUCUUGUGUGUGUGUACACGCGUAUAUUUAUAUACAAAAACACCUAUAAGUAGAUAUAUAAAUAUAAUACAACAAUUACAGUACAUAUAAUACAAAUACAAUAUAUAUAUACAUAAAGUAUACCCAUAUAUAUAUAUAUAUUACACUUUGUACAUAUAUAUGUGUAUAUAUAUAUAUAUAUCUCCUUUGAAUUACACCCGCUUUUUCAACAAAUCGAUCUCAUAAGAAUUCAUUGAAUAUUCAAAUAUUCAAACGUCGGAGCAUAUUCGAUUUCAAUAAUAAAUGAAGUUCGAGGAACGAUGAAAGAAUCAUGAGAGUCUAGAGCAUUAACGACCGACAAUGAACUCGUGUAUUUGAAAUUAUUCGGUGUCUUCUUUAAAGGUGUCUACCAAACGCGAAUAAUAUAUACUCAUUC